rnacentral:rRNA from 1 species
GACGAACGCUGGCGGCGUGCUUAACACAUGCAAGUCGAACGGAAAGGCCCUGCUUUUGUGGGGUGCUCGAGUGGCGAACGGGUGAGUAACACGUGAGUAACCUGCCCUUGACUUUGGGAUAACUUCAGGAAACUGGGGCUAAUACCGGGUAGGAGCUCCUGCUGCAUGGUGGGGGUUGGAAAGUUUCGGCGGUUGGGGAUGGACUCGCGGCUUAUCAGCUUGUUGGUGGGGUAGUGGCUUACCAAGGCUUUGACGGGUAGCCGGCCUGAGAGGGUGACCGGCCACAUUGGGACUGAGAUACGGCCCAGACUCCUACGGGAGGCAGCAGUGGGGAAUAUUGCACAAUGGGCGGAAGCCUGAUGCAGCAACGCCGCGUGCGGGAUGACGGCCUUCGGGUUGUAAACCGCUUUCGCCUGUGACGAAGCGUGAGUGACGGUAAUGGGUAAAGAAGCACCGGCUAACUACGUGCCAGCAGCCGCGGUGAUACGUAGGGCGCGAGCGUUGUCCGGAUUUAUUGGGCGUAAAGGGCUCGUAGGUGGUUGAUCGCGUCGGAAGUGUAAUCUUGGGGCUUAACCCUGAGCGUGCUUUCGAUACGGGUUGACUUGAGGAAGGUAGGGGAGAAUGGAAUUCCUGGUGGAGCGGUGGAAUGCGCAGAUAUCAGGAGGAACACCAGUGGCGAAGGCGGUUCUCUGGGCCUUUCCUGACGCUGAGGAGCGAAAGCGUGGGGAGCGAACAGGCUUAGAUACCCUGGUAGUCCACGCUGUAAACGGUGGGUACUAGGUGUGGGGUCCAUUCCACGGGUUCCGUGCCGUAGCUAACGCUUUAAGUACCCCGCCUGGGGAGUACGGCCGCAAGGCUAAAACUCAAAGGAAUUGACGGGGCCCCGCACAAGCGGCGGAGCAUGCGGAUUAAUUCGAUGCAACGCGUAGAACCUUACCUGGGUUUGACAUGGAUCGGGAGUGCUCAGAGAUGGGUGUGCCUCUUUUGGGGUCGGUUCACAGGUGGUGCAUGGCUGUCGUCAGCUCGUGUCGUGAGAUGUUGGGUUAAGUCCCGCAACGAGCGCAACCCUUGUUCACUGUUGCCAGCACGUUAUGGUGGGGACUCAGUGGAGACCGCCGGGGUCAACUCGGAGGAAGGUGGGGAUGACGUCAAGUCAUCAUGCCCCUUAUGUCCAGGGCUUCACGCAUGCUACAAUGGCUGGUACAGAGAGUGGCGAGCCUGUGAGGGUGAGCGAAUCUCGGAAAGUCGGUCUCAGUUCGGAUUGGGGUCUGCAACUCGACCUCAUGAAGUCGGAGUCGCUAGUAAUCGCAGAUCAGCAACGCUGCGGUGAAUACGUUCCCGGGGCU